ensembl:miRNA
UUUACAGUUUUAUUUGUUUUUAAGACAGGAUCUAGCUAUAUAGUCCUGGAAGGCCUUGAACUUUCUGUGUAGACUGAACUGGCCUCAAAAUUGAGGCAACCCUACUGCCUC